UUACGACCACAUCAUGCAGAAACACCGGUUCCCGUACGAUCACUGACGUUAAGCAACUUCGAACGCGGUCAGUAACUAGACGGGUGACCAUUUGAAAAUACUAGAUGCUGUAAG